rnacentral:rRNA from 1 species
GUGGGGAAUAUUGGGCAAUGGGCGAAAGCCUGACCCAGCAACGCCGCGUGAGGGAAGAAGGCCUUCGGGUUGUAAACCUCUGUCCUUGGUGUCGAAAAAAAUGACGGUAGCCAAGGAGGAAGCCCCGGCUAACUACGUGCCAGCAGCCGCGGUAAUACGUAGGGGGCGAGCGUUGUCCGGAAUUACUGGGCGUAAAGGGUGCGUAGGUGGCCUUUUAAGUUGGAUGUGAAAUACCCGGGCUUAACUUGGGGGGUGCAUCUAAUACUGGAGGGCUAGAGUGCAGGAGAGGGAAGCGGAAUUCCUAGUGUAGCGGUGAAAUGCGUAGAUAUUAGGAGGAACACCAGUGGCGAAGGCGGCUUUCUGGACUGUAACUGACACUGAGGCACGAAAGCGUGGGGAGCAAACAGGAUUAGAAACCCCGGUAGUCC